rnacentral:tmRNA from 1 species
GGGGGUGUAAAGGUUUCGACGGGGAUUUUGAGCCGGAGCCAAGCGAGCAGCGGCGCGGAACCGCUUUAAAAGCCGCAAUUUUAAAAUUAAACGACAACAAUACAGUUGCCUUGGCAGCCUGAGUGCUGCCCGUCCUGUUCGAGAGUACCACGGCUCGGAUAAGGGCGUCGAUUAGUGGUGAACGUGUUCGAGUGGGUGUCUUGACCUCGUCCAUGUAUCAAAGACUACUGAAAAAACGAGCCUGCCGUUAGGCGUGUUUUGGAGGGAAUGUUAAAUUAUCGGCUACGCUCGUAGAAAGCAUCGGUAAGAGGUUUUCGGACAGGGGUUCGAUUCCCCUCACCUCCACCA